UACGUAGGGUGCGAGCGUUAAUCGGAAUUACUGGGCGUAAAGCGUGCGCAGGCGGUUUUGUAAGACAGAUGUGAAAUCCCCGGGCUUAACCUGGGAACUGCAUUUGUGACUGCAAGACUAGAGUGCGGCAGAGGGGGGUAGAAUUCCACGUGUAGCAGUGAAAUGCGUAGAUAUGUGGAGGAAUACCGAUGGCGAAGGCAAUCCCCUGGGCCUGCACUGACGCUCAUGCACGAAAGCGUGGGGAGCAAACAGG
rnacentral:rRNA from 1 species